AACGAACGCUGGCGGCAUGCCUAACACAUGCAAGUCGAACGAGACCUUCGGGUCUAGUGGCGCACGGGUGCGUAACGCGUGGGAACCUGCCCUUAGGUUCGGAAUAACUCCCCGAAAGGGGUGCUAAUACCGGCUAAUGUCUUCGGACCAAAGAUUUAUCGCCUUUGGAUGGGCCCGCGUUGGAUUAGCUAGUUGGUAGGGUAAAAGCCUACCAAGGCGACGAUCCAUAGCUGGUCUGAGAGGAUGAUCAGCCACACUGGGACUGAGACACGGCCCAGACUCCUACGGGAGGCAGCAGUGGGUAAUAUUGGACAAUGGGCGAAAGCCUGAUCCAGCAAUGCCGCGUGAGUGAUGAAGGCCUUAGGGUUGUAAAGCUCUUUUACCCGGGAUGAUAAUGACAUUACCGGGAGAAUAAGCUCCGGCUAACUCCGUG
rnacentral:rRNA from 1 species